CCUACGGGAGGCAGCAGUGGGGAAUAUUGCACAAUGGGCGGAACCCUGAUGCAGCAAAGUCGCGUGAGUGAAGACGUAUUUCGGUAUGUUAAACUCUAUCAGCCGGGAAGAAAAGGACGGUACCUGAGUAAGAAGCCCCGGCUAACUACGUGCCAGCAGCCGCGGUAAUACGUCGGGCGCAAGCGUUAUCCGGAUUUACUGGGUUUAAAGGGAGCGUAGACGGCGAGGCAAGUCUGGCGGGAAAGCCCGGGGCUCAACCCUGGGACUGCUUUGGAAACUGGCUGGCUGGAGUGCUCGAGAGGUAAGCGGAAUGCGUGGUGUAGCGGUGAAAUGCGUAGAUAUCAGGAAGAACACCAGUGGCGAAGGCGGCAUGCUGGACAGUAACUGACGUUGAGGCUCGAAAGCGUGGGUAGCAAACAGGAUUAGAUACCCCUGUAGUC
rnacentral:rRNA from 1 species